rnacentral:rRNA from 1 species
UACGUAGGGGGCGAGCGUUGUCCGGAAUUACUGGGCGUAAAGAGAGCGUAGGCGGCACUACAAGUCUCAUGUGAAAUACCCGGGCUUAACUUGGGGGUUGCAUGGGAAGCUGUAGAGCUUGAGUACAGGAGAGGCAAGCGGAAUUCCUAGUGUAGCGGUGAAAUGCAUAGAUAUUAGGAGGAACACCAGUGGCGAAGGCGGCUUGCUGGACUGAAACUGACGCUGAGGCUCGAAAGCGUGGGGAGCAAACAGG